rnacentral:lncRNA from 1 species
GCAGUCACGGGAAGCAGUUAGAAGCAGAUCAGAAAUCGAACACGUUUGCUUUUGCGAUUCGAGAGCCCUUUCUGGCGCGGAGCUAGGGGCGGUGUUACGUAGCUGCCCUGAACUGAGAGCAGCGUUGGCCGGGGGCUAGGGAGCCGGGCUGUUCCACGCUCACUGUGCGCCUCGGGCGGCGGGGCUCGGGCUCUGUCCGAGGUGCUGAACUCCGGGGCUCCGGCCGCGCCGGCAGAGUGUGCCAGCGUCCAUUAUUGCCAGUGUCUGUGGGCAUCUUCCAGAAGGCCGAGCAUGGGGGUCAGGUGAAACCAGGGCGGAUGGCCUGGACUUCCUCACAGUAUGGUGGCUGGGGAGCAAGAGGAAAAGGCCCAAUGUGCAAGCACUUAUGGAGCCUCUGCCUGCAUCACAUUUGCUAAUGUCCCAUUGGCUAAAGCAAAUCACAUGGCCAAGCUCAAGUCUAUGUGGAAGGAGACUACACAAGAACAGAAAUACUGGGAGGCAUAAUUCUCCAACAGCUGCAAAGUAACAGUCUAUCACAAUUUCUAAUUCCAGCUCUUGCAGCCAGAAGACACUGUUGGGUUUUUAGAUGCAGGGACAGCCCAGAGAUCCAAGCAGAGGAAAUACGUUUGGCUCUGGGAGAGUCUGGAGUCUUAUUAGCAGCUAAAGAGCCUGACUGGGUUGUUGCAUGUGACUCCAUGGUGCAAUACAGCCUCUCCAGCCCAGGGGCCAUGACAAUAAGAAGCCUCCAUAACUGGGAGCCAGUGAAUGAAGGUAUCCUGAACAAGCAUGAAAAGAAGUAUCAGCUCAAACAGAAGUUCUAUGGGUCUAGGAUGGGAUCUUGGCCCCAGAGUGGGAAGCGGAAGAAUAAACACCCCAGCUUCCUGGCCCCUCAGGUGUGUUCUGGACCACCUCCCAGAAUCCCAGCAAGACUGAAGUCCAGGUGCCUACAACAUAACCUUCUCAUUGGCACUCUUUAAUGGUUUCCAUCCCUCCAUCCCUGUCAUAAUUCUUCCCUAUUAGGGCUUCCUGGGGUCACCUUUCAAAUAAACCACUUAUACUCAAA